UAGGGAAUCUUCCGCAAUGGGCGAAAGCCUGACGGAGCAACGCCGCGUGAGUGAUGAAGGUCUUCGGAUCGUAAGACUCUGUUAUUAGGGAAGAACAAAUGUGUAAGUAACUAUGCACGUCUUGACGGUACCUAAUCAGAAAGCCACGGCUAACUACGUGCCAGCAGCCGCGGUAAUACGUAGGUGGCAAGCGUUAUCCGGAAUUAUUGGGCGUAAAGCGCGCGUAGGCGGUUUUUUAAGUCUGAUGUGAAAGCCCACGGCUCAACCGUGGAGGGUCAUUUGAAACUGGAAAACUUGAGUGCAGAAGAGGAAAGUGGAAUUCCAUGUGUAGCGGUGAAAUGCGCAGAGAUAUGGAGGAACACCAGUGGCGAAGGCGACUUUCUGGUCUGUAACUGACGCUGAUGUGCGAAAGCGUGGGGAUCAAACAGG
rnacentral:rRNA from 1 species